UACGUAGGUCUCGAGCGUUGUCCGGAUUUAUUGGGCGUAAAGCGAGCGCAGGUGGUUUAUUAAGUCUGGUGUAAAAGGCAGUGGCUCAACCAUUGUAUGCAUUGGAAACUGGUAGACUUGAGUGCAGGAGAGGAGAGUGGAAUUCCAUGUGUAGCGGUGAAAUGCGUAGAUAUAUGGAGGAACACCGGUGGCGAAAGCGGCUCUCUGGCCUGUAACUGACACUGAGGCUCGAAAGCGUGGGGAGCAAACAGG
rnacentral:rRNA from 1 species